ACAAGAGCAGAGAAACAAGGAGGAGAUGUGAACUAAAUAGGCUCCUCUGUAGGACUGAAUGGAAAUGAAUGACAAGAAAUGGAGUUUGUGAACCAUCUGCCCUUCUAUUUAGCUGAAAUUGUCUCAGGAAAUAAGAUCACAGAUAAAUGAGAGAAGGAGCUAAGAGGGAAAUGAGAAUUUGUCAAGAUCUUAAUUUUGAAGUCUUAUCUAUCACAAGCUAAGGAGAAGGAACUACCAAAAGGAAAAAAAAACCACCUACUGAAAACAAACAAACAAAAACCAAUUAAGGGAAUUCCUUGAGGAGGAGAACAUAUACUAUGAAGAACAGCUAUGAAAGUUGAGGUAGAAGAGGAUUUCAGAUUUUCAAAGACAUUGGUAACAAUACAUCAUCUUUACUUUUACAGAUGAAUUCUAUUCCAUAAUCCAGCUCCUAAGGAAACCUGGAUGUGGCUAACAUUUCUGUUUAUAAAGAGGUCAGUUACGGUUUAUGAAAACCUGGGUGCAUCUCAGUUCAGAAGAGUAAACUGCUAUCUGCCAGACAAAGCUAAUUAUCUUUUGUCCAGGGAAAUCUAUGUUUCUGAAAUGAAUCUAAAAAACACUUUUUGAAAAUAUAAUUUAAUAUAUACAUAUGUCUCAACAAAAUCUCUAAAUCAAAAACUUCAAACUGAUAAGUUUAACACCCUAGCUAAUGGCAGGAUAAGCAGUGCUGAAGACAGACUAGCCUUAUAUUUCUGCCAAUACUUUGACCAAGUCUGAAAGCUAUCUCCAAGUAGAAUUAAAUGAACCAGCAGUUCUAUUUUCCCUGCUGUUAUUUUUUCCUACUUAUUAACAAAACAGGUAUUA